UACGUAGGGGGCGAGCGUUGUCCGGAUUUAUUGGGCGUAAAGAGCUCGUAGGCGGCUUGGCAAGUCGGGUGUGAAACCUCCAGGCUUAACCUGGAGACGCCACUCGAUACUGCCAUGGCUAGAGUCCGGUAGGGGACCACGGAACUCCUGGUGUAGCGGUGAAAUGCGCAGAUAUCAGGAGGAAUACCGGUGGCGAAGGCGGUGGUCUGGGCCGGCACUGACGCUGAGGAGCGAAAGCGUGGGUAGCAAACAGG
rnacentral:rRNA from 1 species